GAUGAACGCUGGCGGCGUGCCUAACACAUGCAAGUCGGACGAGACCUUCGGGUCUAGUGGCGCACGGGUGCGUAACGCGUGGGAAUCCGCCCUUGGGUUCGGAAUAACUCGCCGAAAGGCGUGCUAAUACCGGAUGAUGUCGUAAGACCAAAGAUUUAUCGCCCAGGGAUGAGCCCGCGUAAGAUUAGGUAGUUGGUGAGGUAAAGGCUCACCAAGCCGACGAUCUUUAGCUGGUCUGAGAGGAUGAUCAGCCACACUGGGACUGAGACACGGUCCAA
rnacentral:rRNA from 1 species